UUAGUGUUUGUCAUUCACCUUACCGGACUGUUCUUUUGUUGUUUAUUUUCAGUGUUCAUUUUGUUUCAUUAAAUGAUGGACACUUGUCACGCUGCGCAUUGGUCUGACAUUUCUUACUGCUCGUCAGAGGAGGGCGAAGACGAACGGUACACGUGGCCUUUUUUUGCUUAGAGCAUCGUUUUUGCUUAGAGCAUCGUCUGGGAAGGCACCAUUGACGCUGUGCUAAUCGACAACAUCUACAAGCCCAUGAACCUCACCGUAGCAACCCAUGUGUUUGCCGUUGGAAACACGGUAUCGGCAGAAGGGGAAGGCCAGAGAACACAUACUUGGACGAGCUAAGGAGCAACACUGGACUGGAGGAGGAGGAGAUUGUAUCUGCAAUGGAGGGCAGACAGCUCUGGAGGACACACCUUUCAUCCCAUCGACCAAAGAUGACCAAAUCCAUAAGUUGAAUGUGCUGACAAAAAAAUCACACAAAAAUGAUCAAUGGAAAUCAAAUUUAUCAACCCAUGGAGGUCUGGAUUUGGAGUCACACUCAAAAUGGAAAACCACACUACAGGCUGAUCCAACUUUGAUGUAAUGUCCUUAAAACAAGUCAAAAUGACGCUCAGUAGUGUGUGUGGCCUCCACGUGCCUGUAUGACCUCCCUACAACACCUAGGCAUGCUCCUGAUGAGGUGGCGGAUGGUCUCCUGAGGGAUCUCCUCUCAGACCUGGACUAAAGCAUCCGCCGACUCCUGUACAGUCUGUGGUGGAUGGAGCGAGACAUGAUGUCCCAGAUGUGCUCAAUUGGAUUCAGGUCUGGGGAACGGGCGGGCCAGUCCAUAGCAUCAAUGCCUUCCUCGUACAGGAACUGCUGACACACUCCAGCCCAGGGCCAACCGCACCAGCAUAUGGUCUCACAAGGGGUUUGAGGAUCUCGGUACCUAAUGGCAGUCAGGCUACCUCUGGCGAGCACAUGGAGGGCUGUGCCGCCCCCCAAAGAAAUGCCACCCCACACCAUGACUGACCCACCGUCAAACCGGUCAUGCUGGAGGAUGUUGCAGGCACCAGAACCUUCUCCACGGCGUCUCCAGACUCUGUCACGUCUGUCACAUGUGCCCAGUGUGAACCUGCUUUCAUCUGUGAAGAGCACAGGGCGCCAGUGGUGAAUUUGCCAAUCUUGGUGUUCUCUGGCAAAUGCCAAACGUCCUGCACGGUGUUGAGCUGUAAGCACAACCCCCACCUAUAGACGUCGGGCCCUCAUAUCACUGUCAUGGAGUCUGUUUCUGACCGUUUGAGCAGACACAUGCACAUUUGUGGCCUGCUAGAGGUCAUUUUGCAGGGCUCCUCCUGCUCCUCCUUGCACAAAGGCGGAGGUAGCGGUCCUGCUGCUGGGUUGUUGCCCUCCUAUGGCCUCCUCCACGUCUCCUGAUGUACUGGCCUGUCUCCUGGUAGCGCCUCCAUGCUCUGGACACUACGCUGACAGACACAGCAAACCUUCUUGCCACAGCUCGCAUUGAUGUGCCAUCCUAGAUGAGCUGCACUACCUGAGCCACUUGUGUGGGUUGUAGACUCCGUCUCAUGCUACCACUAGAGUGAAAGCACCGCCAGCAUUCAAAAGUGACCAAAACAUCAGCCAGGAAGCAUAGGAACUGAGAAGUGGUCUGUGGUCCCCACCUGCAGAACCACUCCUUUAUUGGGGGGUGUCAUCAUCAUUUCCACUUGUUGUCUAUUCCAUUUGCACAACAGAAUGUGAAAUUUAUUGUCAAUCAGUGUUGCUUCCUAAGUGGACAGUAUGAUUUCACAGAAGUGUGAUUGACUUGGAGUUACAUUGUGUUGUUUAAGUGUUCCCUUUAUUUUUUGUAUAUACAGUGCAUUCAGGAAAGUAUUCAGACCCUUUGGCUUUUCCCACAUUUUGUUACGUUACAGCCUUAUUCUAAAAUGUAUUACAUGUUUUUGUUCUCCCUCAUCAACCUACACACAAUAACCCACAAUGAGAAUGCAAAAACAGGUUUUAAGAAAUGUUUGCUAAUUUAUUAAAAAUAAAAAACUGAAUUAAGAGGUUUCUUGCGACAAACAACACAACAUUUUCAGUCACCUUGUCUGAAGGACAAGUGGAUAGACGUCAAACCCUGCAAGUUUUUUUCAAAAGUCUCAUGGAAUAUAGGCCUAUAUUGAAAACACACAAUGGCUGCUCCAGACAGAACAUCUAUUUCCAUGUUAAAAUGGUGUGGGAUGCACUCUGGUAGGCCUACUUUAUGAUCAAAAAGCCACAGCGGACUAAACUCGCGCCCGAAGUUGUACAGAGUUUUCACAAUGUUUAAGUUUGCACUCAGCAGAACUGAAAUUUGCUCAGUGAUGAAAAACAUUAGAGGGAACAUUGGGUACUGGACUGGACCAUUGCCGUCAUAUACAAUAUCAUCCACAACAGUCCUGAAGAGCAGGUGAAGGGCUCAAGUUUUGGGAAUGCAAUAUGGAGGAUGCACUUCAUUGUGUAAAAACAUCCUGCCAUUGUCAGGGCAAAAGGGUAAAUCCUUCAUUUACAAUGAGCCCAUAGAAAAGUGGAUGGGGGAUGGGGUUUCAGAAUAGCCUGAUCAGUCACAUUGUAUUAGGUUACAUGUACUGCCCUGAAAGCAAACAGAAUUGAAACCAGGUGUAUAUCUACCAUUGUCACACCCUGAUCUGUUUCACCUGUCUUUGUGCUUGUCUCCCAUCUUCCCCCAUUAUCCCAUGUGUAUUUAUACCAGUGUUUUCUGUUUGUCUGUUGCUAGUUUGUCUUGUCUUGCCAAGUCCUGCCAGCGUGUUUUCCCGGUUUCCAGUCGCGCUAGUUUCUAGUCCUCCUGGUACUAAACAUUCUGCCUACCCUGAGCCUUCCUGCCAUUCUGUCCCUGAUUGAUGCUUCCGUGUAUUACUGACUGUUGUGCAUACCCUGAGCCUGCCUGCCGUUCUGUCCCUGAUUGAUGCUGCCGUGUAUUACUGACUGUUGUGCAUACCCUGAGCCUGCCUGCCGUUCUGUCCCUGAUUGAUGCUGCCGUGUAUUACUGACUGUUGUGCAUACCCUCAUACCCUGAGCCUGCCUGCUGUCCUGUACCUGUCGGAAUCUGAUCUGCUUACGAACCUCUGCCUGUCCUCGACCUGCCCUUUGCCUGU